rnacentral:rRNA from 1 species
UACGUGUCGAGUAUCAUAGGAGACUGCGGAGGACAUUACCGAUAGUUAUUGAAGUGUUGUCGACUCUUCUAUGGGGCCAGUGCUUGCUCAGGUUUACCAUCCUGUCACACCUGUGCAGCUGUUGAAAUUAUGAGACUUGAAGGACUCUUUCCUCCUGUUAUCUCCCGAUUCCUGUAUCCAUGAACAGCGCAGCGAAAUGCUGGAAGGAAUGAGAAUUGUAAAUACAUAGAAUCAUCGAAUCUUUGAACGAUCUUGGGACUCUAUGAUCUUCCAUAAAGUACGUCUGUUUGAGCGUCACGAACAUCUCUAUAAUUACUUUUUUAUUAAAUUGAUUAUGGGUUUUGAGCGCCCUUGUAUAAUGACUCCCUUUAAAAUGAUUAGAGAUGACCUUAUCAAUGGCUUAAUACUGUGGGUUAGAAUGGAUUGGACCCUGGAGGUCUUGCAGAGUAAUCUCCCCUUCCUCUUUGUGGAGAUUGUUGCUAACGGCCGAUUUUUGCCUGACAACCUGAUCUAUCUACCCUCGUGUCCUACGACAUUACCCGCUGCACUGAUGCAUAUCAAUUGGCGCUCGAAAAUGUCUCUCCUCAGUGAAGACAGCUUUUUGAACGUUUGAUCUCAGAUCAGGCAGGACUACUCGCUGAACUUAAGCAUAUCACUAUUCGGAGGAGAACCCUUUGACCUCAAAUCGGGUGAGACUACCCGCUGAACUAAAGCAUAUCAAUAAGCGGAGGAA